AAGUCGAACGUGAUCCGCCCUUCGGGGUAAUGAAAGUGGCGCACGGGUGAGUAACGCGUGGAUAAUCUGCCCGAGGAUUUGGGAUAACAUCUCGAAAGGGGUGCUAAUACCGAAUAAGCCCACGGGGUCUACGGAUCUUGCGGGAAAAGGGGGGGACCUUCGGGCCUCCUGUCCUUGGAUGAGUCUGCGUACCAUUAGCUAGUUGGUGGGGUAAUGGCCUACCAAGGCGACGAUGGUUAGCUGGUCUGAGAGGAUGAUCAGCCACACUGGAACUGAGACACGGUCCAGACUCCUACGGGAGGCAGCAGUGGGGAAUUUUGCGCAAUGGGGGAAACCCUGACGCAGCAACGCCGCGUGGGUGAUGAAGGCCUUCGGGUCGUAAAGCUCUGUCUGGAGGGAAGAAGUGAUUGGGAGCUAAUACCUCUUGAUCUUGACGGUACCUCUGAAGGAAGCACCGGCUAACUCCGUGCCAGCAGCCGCGGUAAUACGGAGGGUGCAAGCGUUGUUCGGAAUUAUUGGGCGUAAAGCGCGUGUAGGCGGUCUUUUAAGUCUGAUGUGAAAGCCCCGGGCUCAANCCUGGGAAGUGCAUUGGAAACUGGGAGGCUUGAGUACGGGAGAGGAGAGUGGAAUUCCUAGUGUAGGAGUGAAAUCCGUAGAUAUUAGGAGGAACACCCGGUGGCGAAGGCGGCUCUCUGGACCC
rnacentral:rRNA from 1 species